UUCGUUCCAAGUGUUCUCCGCCCUAAUCGCUCUUAUCUUUUGUUUUUGGCGGAACUCGUUCUUUUUAUAUUGGUCACCACCUUAUCCUACGUUACAAAACCCAAAAUCACAAGCCCUAGGUUUUCCAUUGUUUCUUCAGGUGUGAAAUUGGAAAUACAAAUGAAAAGAGCAAAAAGUUCUGAAAUCGGAAAUACAACCUGUAGGUUUAUAUUGAUCUAUCUCUCUUCUCUCUUCUUCAUCUCUGCAACACCAGCUUCUAAGUUCUAACUCAUCCAUCUCUGCAACGAUGGCGCUACACCAAACCCAAAAAGAAAUCAAACACAUUGAGCCUCUCUCCCCACUCGCUCCUCUUCUCUCCUGCUCUUCCAUUCUUGUCUCUAGCGCGCUCGCACGAUGACUCCUCUCACCGUUGGCACAGUCGCUCUUCCUCGUCACUAGCCAAGCUCGAUCUUCUCUGGAAUCUCUUCGCCGCCACUGUGACAGUCUGACAGAUUUUCAGUUUGUCAUUUUUUUAUUUGGACAAAGCAUAUGUAGAAAAAGAUUGAUGAGUUCAUGGAGGCUUAAACUACAAAGACAAGUGCUACGGAAAGUCAAGCUUCUAAGUUAGAAGUUUUACGUUUUACCGUACUAGAUAGCUUGGUUUAUUUCAGCAUUUAUUGUUUUCAAUGUAAUUUUUUUAAUGUUUUUUUAAUAUUAUUUCUCAAGAUAGUUAACAUUAUUACGAGUUUUUGAAUGUUUGUAUCUAAAUAUUCUAUUUUAGUGGAUAUUAAAUUUCAGCUUGUUAUUUUUUUAAUAUAUUCAUUUAGCUACUAUAAA